GGAGACGUGGCUGAGUUGGUCGAAAGCACCUCGCUGCUAAUGAGGCAGGCCCGUAAGGGUCUCCAGGGUUCGAAUCCCUGCGUCUCCG
rnacentral:tRNA from 1 species